GAUGCGCAAUGAAAGUGAAGCAGGAUUUAUCCUGUGAGGUAGGAACCGUAAGGGGCACUAUCGACCGAUCGUUCAUUCAUGAAAGAUUUGAGUAAGAGCAUAUCUGUUGGGACCCGAAAGAUGGUGAACUAUGCCUGAUCAGGGUGAAGCCAGGGGAAACUCUGGUGGAGGCUCGUAGCGAUACUGACGUGCAAAUCGUUCGUCUGAAUUGGGUAUAGGGGCGAAAGACUAAUCGAACCAUCUAGUAGCUGGUUCCCGCCGAAGUUUCCCUUAGGAUAGCAAGAACUUAUACAGUUUUAUCAGGUAAAGCUAAUGAUUAGAGGUCCUAGAGUUGAAACAACUUUAACCUAUUCUCAAACUUUAAAUAGGUAAGAAAUCUAUGCUUGCUUUAUUGAAGCUAGAUCUCGAAUGAAAGUUCUUAGUGGGCCAUUUUUGGUAAGCAGAACUGGCGAUGCGGGAUGAACCGGACGUUAAGUUAAGGUGCCAAACUAUUCGCUCAUCUAGAUACUCCUAAAAGGUGUUGGUUCAUUUAGACAGCAGGACGGUGGUCAUGGAA
rnacentral:rRNA from 1 species